AUGCUCAAAAUUCUCCAAGCCAGGCUUCAGCAGUACGUGAACCGUGAACUUCCAGAUGUUCAAGCUGGGUAUGGAAAAGGCAGAGGAACCAGAGAUCAAAUUACCAACAUCUGCUGGAUCAUCGAAAAAGCAAGAGAGUUCCAGAAAAACAUCUAUUUCUGCUUUAUUGACUAUGCCAAAGCCUUUGACUGUGUGGAUCACAAUAAACUGUGGAAAAUUCUGAAAGAGAUGGGAAUACCAGACCACUUGACCUGCUUCUUGAGAAACCUAUAUGCAGGUCAGGAAGCAACAGUUAGAACUGGACAUGGAACAACAGACUGGUUCCAAAUAGGAAAAGGAGUACGUCAAGGCUGUAUAUUGUCACUUUGCUUAUUUAACUUCUAUGCAGAGUACAUCAUGAGAAAAGCUGGAAUCAAGAUUGCCGGGAGAAAUAUCAAUAACCUCAGAUAUGCAGAUGACAUUACCCUUAUGACAGAAAGUGAAGAGGAACUAAAAAGCCUCUUGAUGAAAGUGAAAGAGGAGAGUGAAAAAGUUGGCUUAAAGCUCAACAUUCAGAAAACGAAGAUCAUGGCAUCUGGUCCUAUCACUUCAUGGCAAAUAGAUGGGGAAACAGUGGAAACAGUGGCUGACUUUAUUUUGGGGGGCUCCAAAAUCACUGCAGAUGGUGAUUGCAGCCAUGAAAUUAAAAGACGCUUACUCCUUGGAAGGAAAGUUAUGACCAACUUAGAUAGCAUAUUCAAAAGCAGAGACAUUACUUUGCCAGCAAAGGUCUGUCUAGUCAAGGCUAUGGUUUUUCCUGUGGUCAUGUGUGAAUGUGAGAGUUGGACUGUGAAGAAAGCUGAGUGCCGAAGAAUUGAUGCUUUUGAACUGUGGUGUUGGAGAAGACUCUUGAGAGUCCCUUGGACUGCAAGGAGAUCCAACCAGUCCAUCCUAAAGGAAAUCAGUCCUGGGUGUUCAUUGGAAGGAGUGAUGCUGAAGCUGAAACUCCAAUACUUUGGCCACCUCAUGCGAAGAGUUGACUCACUGGAAAAGACUCUGAUGCUGGGAGGGAUUGGGGGCAGGAGGAGAAGGGGACGACAGAGGAUGAGAUGGCUGGAUGGCAUCACGGACUCGAUGGACAUGAGUUUGAGUGAACUCUGGGAGUUGGUGAUGGACAGGGAGGCCUGGCGUGCUGCGAUUCAUGGGUCGCAAAGAGUUGGAUACGACUGA
rnacentral:lncRNA from 1 species